UAGGGAAUCUUCCGCAAUGGGCGAAAGCCUGACGGAGCAACGCCGCGUGAGUGAUGAAGGUCUUCGGAUCGUAAAACUCUGUUAUUAGGGAAGAACAAAUGUGUAAGUAACUAUGCACGUCUUGACGGUACCUAAUCAGAAAGCCACGGCUAACUACGUGCCAGCAGCCGCGGUAAUACGUAGGUGGCAAGCGUUAUCCGGAAUGAUUGGGCGUAAAGCGCGCGUAGGCGGUUUUUUAAGUCUGAUGUGAAAGCCAACGGCUCAACCGUGGAGGGUCAUUGGAAACUGGAAAACUUGAGUGCAGAAGAGGAAAGUGGAAUUCCAUGUGUAGCGGUGAAAUGCGCAGAGAUAUGGAGGAACACCAGUGGCGAAGGCGACUUUCUGGUCUGUAACUGACGCUGAUGUGCGAAAGCGUGGGGAUCAAACAGG
rnacentral:rRNA from 1 species